GUGCUCACUUCGACAGUACACAUACCAAAAUUGGAAUGAUACAGAGAAGAUUAGCAUGGCCCCUGCACAAGGAUGACACGCAAAUACGUGAAGCGUUCCAUAUUUUU